rnacentral:rRNA from 1 species
UACGGAGGGUGCAAGCGUUAUCCGGAUUCACUGGGUUUAAAGGGUGCGUAGGCGGGCAAUUAAGUCAGUGGUGAAAUCUCGGAGCUUAACUCCGAAACUGCCAUUGAUACUAUUUGUCUUGAAUUUUCUGGAAGUCAGCGGAAUAUGUCAUGUAGCGGUGAAAUGCUUAGAUAUGACAUAGAACACCGAUAGCGAAGGCAGCUGACUACGGAACGAUUGACGCUGAGGCACGAAAGCGUGGGGAUCAAAC